rnacentral:lncRNA from 1 species
GAAAAAGUGUUACAGAGAAGAAUGUGAACAAUAACUAUUGAUGGAAGAGCAGCUAUGAGAAGAUGACUGUAGACGCGACGCGAAUCCUCGAAGCUUCUUCCAGAGAGAAGACGUAGCGGAAAUAUGACAAAAACUCGAAGAAGAACCAGAAACAGAGGAUUAAACUUGAUAGAAAAAGAAGGAAACCUAUUCUGGACCAAUUGAUCGGUGUAAAUCAAAGUUGAAUCGGUGGAAAAGGUUUCUGAUGGUGAAAACAAGGUUUUAAUCGGUGGAAUCGAAGGGAAAUGGUGAAAAGGAAAAGAAACCCUAACCAGGGUUUAGUUAUAUGAAUGAUUCGGUGGAAAAUGAAGGAUAGAGGAAAUGGAAAUGAUUCUGUGAGUGAAGAAGGCUUACCGUGAUGAUGAAAGACGAUCGACGAGGAGAUCUCUCUCAUGAAGGAAGAGAGAAGGAUGAGACGAAGAACACAGAAUAGAGGAAUCAGAUGAACACGGAAGAGAGGAAUGAGAGUGAGAGUGAACGUGAAAUGAAAUCAGUGAGGAAAAUGAGAAAAAUUAGAGAGGAAGAGAUAUUAUAACGAAUUUCUAAAACUAUGUUAUAAUACAUAGAUUUUCAUCUUAUUAACAAGUUUGCCACCGCAUUUUAUAUUAUAACUGAUUUUUAAAAGUAUGUUAUAAUAUGUCUUAAAUUUAUUUACAACUUUGUCACCGUAUUUCA